rnacentral:rRNA from 1 species
UAAUUAGUGGCAGACGGGUGAGUAAUGCAUAGGGAUCUACCUAGUAGUAUGGGAUAGCCACUAGAAAUGGUGGGUAAUACUGUAUAAUCCCCGCGGGGGAAAGAUUUAUCGCUAUUAGAUGAGCCUAUGUUAGAUUAGCUAGUUGGUGGGGUAAAGGCCUACCAAGGCGAUGAUCUAUAGCUGGUCUGAGAGGAUGAUCAGCCACACUGGAACUGAGAUACGGUCCAGACUCCUACGGGAGGCAGCAGUGGGGAAUAUUGGACAAUGGGCGCAAGCCUGAUCCAGCUAUGCCGCGUGAGUGAGGAAGGCC